rnacentral:rRNA from 1 species
ACUGUCUCUGGCUUUUUGGGGGAACCCGUGAGCACUGUGCAGCGUCUUCGUUUUCUCUCGUCUCUACUUUNCACUCUACACCUGUGCACUAUUGUAAGUCCUCGCAAGGGGAUCUAUGUCUUCUUAUCACACUUUAUCGUAUGGCCACGAAUGUAUUUAAAUCAAUUACAACUUUCANCAACAGGAUCUCUUGGCUCUCGCAUCNAUGAAGAACGCAGCGAAUCUGCGAUAAAUAAUGUGAAUUGCAAAUUUUCAUUGAAUCAUCUAAUCUUUGAACGCACCUUGCGCUCCUUGGUAUUCCGAGGAGCAUGCCUGUUGUGAGUGUCGUUUUCAUUCUCAAUCAAGGCUAGAUUCAUUUCUAGACUUGACUUGGACUUGGCGGUUGCUGGCGGCCUUUGUGGCUAUCAUCUCUUCUGAAAUGCAUUACCGUGGCGCGUAUCUGGCUUUAAAUGACGUAACGGCUCUGGAUGUGAUAAUGAUCGUCCUUGGCUGGAGCGUCUGGAGGGACUUGCAGACUGCGUCCGUGCUUC